rnacentral:rRNA from 1 species
CCCCUAGUAGCGGCGAGCGAAGCGGGAAGAGCUCAAAUUUAUAAUCUGGCACCUUCGGUGUCCGAGUUGUAAUCUCUAGAAGUGUUUUCCGCGUUGGACCGCACACAAGUCUGUUGGAAUACAGCGGCAUAGUGGUGAAACCCCCGUAUAUGGUGCGGACGCCCAGCGCUUUGUGAUACACUUUCAAUGAGUCGAGUUGUUUGGGAAUGCAGCUCAAAUUGGGUGGUAAAUUCCAUCUAAAGCUAAAUAUUGGCGAGAGACCGAUAGCGAACAAGUACCGUGAGGGAAAGAUGAAAAGCACUUUGGAAAGAGAGUUAACAGUACGUGAAAUUGUUGGAAGGGAAACGCUUGAAGUCAGACUUGCUUGCCGGAGCUUGCUUCGGUUUGCAGGCCAGCAUCAGUUUUCCGGGGUGGAUAAUGACGGUUUGAAGGUAGCAGUCUCGGCUGUGUUAUAGCUUUCCGUUGGAUACAUCCUGGGGGACUGAGGAACGCAGCGUGCUUUUUGCGAAAGACUCGUCUUUUUCACGCUUAGGAUGCUGGUGGAAUGG